rnacentral:rRNA from 1 species
ACGAAGGGGGCUAGCGUUGCUCGGAAUGACUGGGCGUAAAGGGCGCGUAGGCGGUUUAAGCAGUCAGAUGUGAAAUCCCCGGGCUUAACCUGGGAACUGCAUUUGAGACGCUUAGACUAGAGUUCGAGAGAGGGUUGUGGAAUUCCCAGUGUAGAGGUGAAAUUCGUAGAUAUUGGGAAGAACACCGGUGGCGAAGGCGGCAACCUGGCUCGAUACUGACGCUGAGGCGCGAAAGCGUGGGGAGCAAACAGG